CCGGCAGGAGAGAGCAAGUUAGUUAUGUUGCCUUUCCCCAUCUCCUCGACUGACAUCGGCUACUUUCUGGAUAUAUCAAGUGAAAUCUAAAAGCAAUGAUGCUCUAAAGACACCUGUGAACCUUGACUUGCAAAGGAUGAGGGUGGAAAAUCCAAAACAUGGAGAGGAUCUGCCUUUUGUUCAGAGCUGAUGCAUGAAGAGAUUGGAAGCUUACGUAUGAUCAGAGGUGCCACAAUGGCACUCCUGUCGACGGACCAAUGGAAGAGAAGUUUAGAUGAAUCACAUAACAACAGCUUACCUUGACAGGAGACAAGGUACACCCAAGAAUGAGAUAAUUUAGUCCACAAGAUUUACCUUACUGGAUCAUUGCUAAACUAGGUGAGUAGAAACAAACUUAGUAUGAAGUUCUACAAACAUCUAGUUGUUGGUUUGAGUAUUUGAGUCAUCCUGGGCAAACACUUGACCCCAGGUCAUUCCAGGAGGGUUGUCCCUGUAAUAAGUGUACUGCAAGUCAUUUUGGGUAUAAAGCAUCUGCUAAAUGAAUAGUUAAGCUCAAUGAGAGGGUAGGUAUUGCAGAGAACUGUCAGAAGUAGUAUUUAAGACUUUCAGAAUAAAAAGAAUAUGUCCUUUCUUCACCUGGAGAACUGCCAUGAGGACUCUUUAGAGACUGCACCUUGCCAAAGCCUGCUGACGGACACUCAUGAUGCCAUUGGCUCACUACUUUGCAAUUUCAGGGAUGCACAGAGGACCAGCGCUGAGACACAGGCCCCAAAAGAACGACAGUAUCUGGGCAGCGAGCGAGCAUGAUUGUGGCUGGCCCUAAAAUAGCCUGCGGUGGGGCUGGUAUUUCAAAGCUACGGCUGGGACAGCACAGAAACCGCAUGCCACUGCUUUCAACAUGCAUCUGACACUGCUGUACUGGAAACGGGGCAGACGAACCCAAAUGCCCUCAGGAGAUUGGCUCCCGUAUAACAGUGGUGUGAUUGUCGGGUGGUUUUGCGUGCCAUCAGACGCAGAUGUCCGGGAGGUUUUAUGGUGUGCCUUGGGUAAAGUGUCAUUUGGGGUCUGAGGGUUGAUUCAGUCACUCCAAAUCUUACAAAACAGGAAAAUCUCUUUGAAAAUGAAAAGUCAAUCUAAACCAUGCUUUCCUGCUAUUCCCAUGGAGUGGUUUAACAGCUAAAGCUCAAAGUUUCUGGUUUGAUCACAGUUGGGCCUUGAGCAAGACACUUAAUCCCAGACUACUCCAGAGGAACUGCUGCUCUAAUAAUGCAUUUAAUGUCAGAUACAGGAUAUUCCUACUUGAUAUCUCUGACCAUAAAGGUGUUUCAUUCUCUGGUGGCUGGAAGACAAAAAUAGCAGUGCUACCGCUAGCUUUGCAGUCAAGAAUGUACCUCAAUUUGUGGAGAAUAAAUGAAGACAUGCAAUGCUAGAAUGUUUUUUUAAAGAUUUGUUUUUUGGUGUUUUGUCUUUAUUAUCGGGAAUCGGGAAAGGUCCUC